UGAGCCCCUGGGACCCUCCUCUUUC
rnacentral:piRNA from 1 species